rnacentral:rRNA from 1 species
CGGUCUUUUUGUUAGCGGCGAACGGUCGAGUAACACGUAACCGACCUGCCCUUUGGUCUGGGAUAGCCCUCCGAAAGGGGGAGUAAUACCGGAUGGUCUCAUAAAAUCGCAUGGUUUUGUGAGUAAAGCUUUAUGCGCCGGAGGAGGGGGUUGCGGCCUAUCAGCUGGUUGGCGGGGUAACGGCCCACCAAGGCGACGACGGGUAGCUGGUCUGAGAGGAUGGUCAGCCGGAUUGGGACUGAGACACGGCCCAA